rnacentral:lncRNA from 1 species
CUUAAAUCAUUCCUAUGUUUGGUUAAAACCCAAUUUAAUGCUGUGGUUCAAACUGUUAGAAGUGACAAUGCUUUAGAAUUGGGGUCUAGCAUUGAGGGUAUUUCUUUCUUUAGUAGCCAAGGGAUUAUUCAUCAGACCACCUGCCCUCAUUCUCCUCAACAGAAUGGUGUUGUUGAAAGAAAGCAUAGAACCCUCCUUGAAACAUGUAG